rnacentral:tRNA from 1 species
UAUAUUUUAAUAUAUGAUGUAUAUUAAUUUUUGAUGUUAAUUGAAAAGGUUUAAUUCCUUUAAAUAUAA